UGAAGUCCUGGGGAACAACUGCCUGGCAGCGUGAACAAUACUGAAUAGGAUGGGCUGACUCGGUUCUGUAUACAGCAGCUUUCUCUGUUCCUAUACAGUAAAGGAAUAAUCAAGGUUGGAGAACCCAAAACUUCAAUGAAAAACUCUGAUCUUUAUCCUGCAGACAGAAUUACAAACAGGGGAAAAGAAGGGAGGGGCUGAGAUUAUUGGGGAGGGAGCUUCAAAAGCAGCGAAUUUCACAGGCUACGGUAUUUAUUAAAUAAAUAAAUAAAAUUUUAGUGGAUGAAAGUGGCUGUCUUCAAAAGGAAACUCAGAUUUCAGAACGAUGCAAAAGUAAGCAAGUUCAUUAUUCCCAUUAAAAUGUGGUUUUAAAUUU